AGCUUUGUGCAGUGCUAAUAUCAUAGCCAAUGAAGGUUUACUGAGGUGUGAUUAUUGCAAUUUGAAAACUUUACCCAAUACCCUGCCAAGUCUGCUUUAUGACAGAUUUGUCAAUUUUUUACCCUUUCUGAGGAGA